rnacentral:rRNA from 1 species
UGAAUACGAGACGCUAAGGCGUCGAAGUAGUGUAUGUCAUACUUCCAAAAAAGCUUGCACUGUCAUAGAUAAAAAACGCCUGUACCAUAACCGACACAGGUGGGUAGGUAGAGUAUACUAAGGGGCGCGAGAUAACUCUCUCUAAGGAACUCGGCAAAAUAACUCCGUAACUUCGGGAGAAGGAGUGCCUUAUUCGUAAGGUUGCAAUAACAAGAUCCAAGCAACUGUUUAUCAAAAACACAGGUCUCCGCUAAGUCGUAAGACGAUGUAUGGGGGCUGACGCCUGCCCAGUGCCAGAAGGUUAAAGAAGUUGGUUAGCAAUUGCGAAGCUGAUAACUGAAGCCCUGGUGAACGGCGGCCGUAACAAUAACGGUCCUAAGGUAGCGAAAUUCCUUGUCGGGUAAGUUCCGACCCGCACGAAAGGCGUAAUGAUUUGGAUACUGUCUCGGAGAGGGGCUCGGUGAAAUAGACUUGUCUGUGAAGAUGCGGACUACCUGCACCAGGACAGAAAGACCCUAUGAAGCUUUACUGUAACUUGAAAUUGAAAUUGGACUUUAUUCGCGCAGUAUAGGUGGGAGGCGUUGAUUAUAAUCUUGUGGGAUUAUUGGAGCCAUCAGUGAGAUACCACUCUUGUAAUGUUAGAUUUCUAACUUUGAAUCAUUAUCUGGUCAAAGAACAGUUUCAGGCGGGCAGUUUGACUGGGGCGGUCGCCUCCUAAACGGUAACGGAGGCGUACAAAGGUUUCCUCUGAACGGUUAGAAAUCGUAUCUAGAGUGUAAAGGCAUAAGGAAGCUUGACUGUGAGACCUACAAGUCGAGCAGGGACGAAAGUCGGUCUUAGUGAUCUGACGGUACUGAGUGGAAAGGCCGUCACUCAACGGAUAAAAGUUACUCUAAGGAUAACAGGCUGAUCUCCCCCAAGAGUUCACAUCGACGGGGAGGUUUGGCACCUCGAUGUCGGCUCAUCGCAUCCUGGGGCGGUAGUACGUCCCAAGGGUUGGGCUGUUCGCCCAUGAAAGCGGUACGCGAGCUGGGUUCAGAACGUCGUGAGACAGUUCGGUCCAUAUCCGGUGUAGGCGUUAGAAUAUUGAGAGGAGCCUUCUUUAGUACGAGAGGACCGAGAAGGACAUACCUCUGGUGUACCAGUUAUCGUGCCAACGGUAAACGCUGGGUAGCUAUGUAUGGAGUGGAUAACCGCUGAAAGCAUCUAAGUGGGAAGCCCCCCUCAAGAUAAG